rnacentral:rRNA from 1 species
UAGGGAAUCUUCCACAAUGGGCGCAAGCCUGAUGGAGCAACACCGCGUGAGUGAAGAAGGGUUUCGGCUCGUAAAGCUCUGUUGUUAAAGAAGAACACGUAUGAGAGUAACUGUUCAUACGUUGACGGUAUUUAACCAGAAAGUCACGGCUAACUACGUGCCAGCAGCCGCGGUAAUACGUAGGUGGCAAGCGUUAUCCGGAUUUAUUGGGCGUAAAGAGAGUGCAGGCGGUUUUUCCUAAGUCUGAUGUGAAAGCCUUCGGCUUAACCGG